rnacentral:rRNA from 1 species
GGUGCAUGGUUGUCGUCAGCUCGUGUCGUGAGAUGUUGGUUAAGUCCCGCAACGAGCGCAACCCUCGACCUUAGUUGCCAGCAUUCAGUUGGGCACUCUAGGUGACUGCCGGCUAAAAGUCGGAGGAAGGUGGGGAUGACGUCAAAUCAUCAUGCCCCUUAUGACCUGGGCUACACACGUGCUACAAUGGGCGGUACAAAGGGUCGCGAACCCGCGAGGGGGAGCCAAUCCCAAAAAGCCGCUCUCAGUUCGGAUUGCAGGCUGCAACUCGCCUGCAUGAAGCCGGAAUCGCUAGUAAUCGCGGAUCAGCAUGCCCGCGGUCCGAAUACGUUCCCGGGCCUU